UACGGAGGGUGCAAACGUUGCUCGGAAUCAUUGGGCGUAAAGCGCACGUAGGCGGCCCAGCAAGUCGGGUGUGAAAGCCCUCGGCUUAACCGAGGAAGUGCAUUCGAAACUACUGAGCUUGAAUACUGGAGAGGAUCGCGGAAUUCCAGGUGUAGCGGUGAAAUGCGUAGAUAUCUGGAGGAAUACCGGUGGCGAAGGCGGCAUCCUGGACCGGCAUUGACGCUGAGGAGCGAAAGCCAGGGGAGCAAACGGG
rnacentral:rRNA from 1 species